GAUGAUGUGGUUUAAUUCGAUGCAACGCGAAAAACCUUACCCACCUUUGACAUGUACGGAAUUCGCCAGAGAUGGCUUAGUGCUCGAAAGAGAACCGUAACACAGGUGCUGCAUGGCUGUCGUCAGCUCGUGUCGUGAGAUGUUGGGUUAAGUCCCGCAACGAGCGCAACCCUUGUCAUUAGUUGCUACAUUUAGUUGGGCACUCUAAUGAGACUGCCGGUGACAAACCGGAGGAAGGUGGGGAUGACGUCAAGUCCUCAUGGCCCUUAUAGGUGGGGCUACACACGUCAUACAAUGGCUGGUACAAAGGGUUGCCAACCCGCGAGGGGGAGCUAAUCCCAUAAAACCAGUCGUAGUCCGGAUCGCAGUCUGCAACUCGACUGCGUGAAGUCGGAAUCGCUAGUAAUCGUGGAUCAGAAUGUCACGGUGAAUACGUUCCCGGGUCUUGUACACACCGCCCGUCACACCAUGGGAGCGGGUUCUGCCAGAAGUAGUUAGCUUAACCGCAAGGAGGGCGAUUACCACGGCAGGGUUCGUGACUGGGGUGAAGUCGUAACAA
rnacentral:rRNA from 1 species